ACAAACUUUUCCAAUACCACAGUUAUGGAUCAUUCUUGUCUUAUUUUCAACUGCACACUCUGUAUGCAAGAACAGAAAACUUGGCAUGUACUAUAAAGCCUCUACAAUAACAUCUGCGCAAAAGCUGUAGUGAAACUUUUGAUGAGCAGUUUUUAACAAACAGAUCAUUGAAAGAUUAAGAAACGGCUGAUUUACUGUAAGUUGUGUAAAGCAGAGCACUCAGCCAUAGCAGAUUCCAUUCUCAACUGUGGAUAACAACACAGAGGGGCAGAGAGAUGCCUGGACAUGUGAGAGGAAGAGUUGCACAAGGGAAAGGACGAAGAGCAGGGAGAGGGGAACCUGGACCAGGGUGGCCUAGUCAGACCUGGACCUCCACAAUUUCUGCAACAAACUUAUUGCGAAACACUUACAUUGGACUUCGUUCAAGAAUGAUACCUAUUGUAAUCAUUGGCAAAGCACCUCUAUUCAAAAUGCAAAACACAUCAAUUGGAAAUACCCACACACAACUGAAAAGACUUAUACAGAAAAUGAACACCAAUCAGUCUGAACCUCAGCACUACAAUAGACACCAGAAUGGAAGAGGCAUGCAGACAGGGUCAUUUGAAACACAAGGCAAUUUCCCUAUUUCCCUACUUUUCAGCCUGAGAGGACAUCAGUGCAGUGCAGUGCAGUGCAGUACAGUGCUUAGUGUUGAUAACUGUAAUUCUGUUUUUCUUUCCUUUCUUUGGUUUUGGUGUAAAAACUUUUGUUGUUAAAAAGAAACUGAUCAGUGGAGGAACUACAGAAUAAUGUCUAAGAAAAGCACAAUGAAAAUAGAACAGCAAACACUGGAGUGUUUCAUCAAGCACAUCAGAGUGUUGCUGCUGAUUUGAAAGAGUAGCCUGAUUA